rnacentral:rRNA from 1 species
UGCGUAGGCGGGUCUUUAAGUCAGGGGUGAAAUCCUGGAGCUCAACUCCAGAACUGCCUUUGAUACUGAAGAUCUUGAGUUCGAGAGAGGUGAGUGGAACUGCGAGUGUAGAGGUGAAAUUCGUAGAUAUUCGCAAGAACACCAGUGGCGAAGGCGGCUCACUGGCCCGAUACUGACGCUGAGGCAAAGCUGGGGAGCAAACA